AAUAAAUAAAUAAAAAAAAAAAUAAUAAUAAUAAUAAUAAUAAUAAUACUCUAUACUAAGCCAUGUCUGCAUCUCUGUAGGAGUUGAGGCUGAGCUCAAGGGAAAUGUGAGAGCCACCGCCAUAACCGCUACCUCUCUCGGAAGUAGUCUUCAUGAUGCCCAAGAUGUCCUCACCAUGCAUGGGGAACAAUGGAAGGGUUUCAAUCUCCUGGUGAUCUCCUCCUCGUUGUUGCAGGGAUGUUUGUCCUCCUGUUGUGCCAAAAGAGUUGUACUGGUAUUAGUGUUGAAGUGUGAGGAAGAAUAUGAAACAAAAUUUAAAUCAAGAAAUCCUUCAUUACCAGUAGAAUCGGUGGAACCAAAGUUGAGAUUAAUGGAUCUACCAUCAUCAGUAGAACUAGUGGACCCAAAAUUGAUGUCAAUGGAUCCACCAGCUGGCCCAAAAUUGAUGUCGAUGGACACCAGCACCAGUAGAACCAGCUGGCCCAAAAUUGAGAUCAAUGGAUCCACCAGUACCAGGAGAACUAGUUCCCAUGGGCACUUGAGCAGCCUGAUUGCACCUCUUCAUCUGCUUCUCUCGAGCCCUGACAUUCUGGAACCAAAAAUAAAUGUUCUUGCCCUCAACAUGUCCAUACUGGUUCAGCUGGAGACAGAUCUCGUGAAUAUGCUCUGUAGUUGGGCGCGUAACUCCCUUGUUGUAGUAAAGAUCCUUGAGGAUCCUUAUUUGAUCUGGAGUAGGAACCCACCUGGCACGGCUUCGCCAGAAAUCUGUGUUGGCACUACUCCCGGCUGCUUGGUUGUUUCCUCCAUCCUCGAUUUGUUGCUGGGUUUGUAGCUCCAUCAGUUGCAGAGUUCGUGGUUCCAUGGUGAUGGGUUGAGGGGAUGUGAAGAUCGAAGAGUAAAGUUGUCAAGUGUUUGAAGGAGUUGUUGUUAAAGGGAUUAAGGAUGAUGAUGGUGUGUUGGAGAUCUGAAAGUUCAGAGGAAAGAUGGGAUUGAAUCAACUAGAUGGGAGAGAAGAUCAGAAGAGAAGGAUUGAAUCGAAGAAGAAAUAUUUUGAGUUUUGAAAGAAGAGGAAAAGCUGAAGAGUUGGGAGAGAGGGGCUGGAACUCAGGAGAGAUUUUCGUUCCUUUGGAGUGAACAGUUGCGCCCUCAGAAUGCACCUAUUUAUAGAGCGAGGUGAGCAGAUCUCCACCGUUGGAUGGACGAUUCCUGUGAUUCAUUCUACGCGUUGGAUUAAAGUCGCCCUGAAACCCGGAAAAGUUGUUGGCGCGUGGAGAGCGUGUAAGGGGACCGAGGGAAUCUCGAGGCGCUGUGGCAGACAGCUGUAGCCGAAAGCAGAUUUGACUGCCGUAAAUCACGGAAGGGAUAAGCCGUGACACAAGUGGGCCGUACUUGGGCCUGUCUCGGAUCAAGGCAUCACUGUAGCUGUGGGUGGAGGCCUGAUGGGCCGAGUUUCAGAAACAGUUUUGGACAUGAUGGGCCGAGUUUCUGAAACAGUUUUGGAUGAGUUGGGCUGGGUUUCUGCAACAGUCUUGGAUGUUUUGUGCCGAAUUGUUGAAACAGUUGAAACAGUUGGUUUAAAUAAAAGGAUUGGUAUGGAUAAUAACGUGAGCAGCCGUGCUCGAGUGGUUGAGUGUAAAGUUCGUGUACAAGAGGUCUGAGGUUCGAACCUCGCCUCUCGUUUAUUUUUAUUAUGUUCGUUUAUGACAUAAUAAGUAUAAAAUUUGUACACAUUAUAUUAAGCACAGCUUGUGCUCCAGUGGUUGGGGACAAAGGUUUCGUGUAGCAGGUUAAGGUUUCGAACCUUGCCUCCCCCGUUUUUUUUUAUUUAUGUCACUCCAUCAGAACCCUCCUCCGAAGGCUGAAACCAGCAAGAAGGCUGCCACUCGCCCGCAUACCGCUCCUCCAAAGGAGUAAAUGGAGGUACAAGUCUAGGCUGAAAGACUUUAAACAUUAAGCGCUGCAUGGGAGGCAACCCAUUUCAACCGUAGCUGUGGAGGAGCCAUCAACGCAGAUUUGCUCUCUUAAACUCUAUCUCCUCUAUUACUAUUUUCUGAUUGUAUCUUUGUUAUUUGCGUUUUUAGUUUUUGUUUUUAGGUUUUCUUGAGUUAAUCAUUCCAUUUACAUGAUAAUUGUUCAUUGCAUGCUCUAACUUGUUUAACAUUGAGGACAAUGUAUGAUUUAAGUGUGGGGGGAAGGAUUAAUGCUUGUAGUUAGUUUUUGUCAUAAAAAGAAAACAAAACAAAAAAAUCGAAAAAUGUCAGAAAUAUAAAAAAUUUCGUUGCUUUUGUUUUUGUUUUGAGUCUUAGGAUGCCUUUCAACUGUCUGGGAUGAUUCUAUAUCUCUGAAAUCAUGACUAAAAGAGGAUCACAACAUUGAGAUGAUUUUAAACAUGGUAUUCUUUGGUUAAUUGAGAUAUAUGAAAAAUGUGUGCCUUGUAGUGGAUAUGGAUUGCAUGACCUUGGUACAGAAUAUGAGCAUGUUAAGAUGAGUUGUGAUUCAUAAAGCCAUGUGAGAUAAUUGAACCAUGUCCCUUUUUCUUGGAGUGAAAUGAAAAAUAUAUUCUUAAUUUCUUGGCGAUGUUUUGAUGAUCUCAUUAUUCUUUCAUCUUGAUUGACUGCUUGCCAUAGAUUAAGUUUAAUGGACUAGAGAAUGCUAGAAUUCGCUCUUGUGCUUGUUGAGACGUGAUAUCAAUACAUGGCCCUGAUUCUGGAAGGGAUAGAGGUUCUCUAGGAAUUACCACCAUUGCCAAAUAAACUUGUGUCCCCAUUUGUGCCCGUCGUGGGACCCCCCUAGAUAAGCCCCUUUGAGCCUACAUUAAGCCUUUUCGUUCAUCACCCUUAAAAUCCUUAACCAUGAAGCUUAGUAUAGUUACAACCCUACCCUUUGUUCUAAGGACUUAGUGGAGCUAUCUUUUGAGACAUACUACAUGGGUUUGGUGCUAAGGAUGAAGAUUAAGAAGAGGUGAAAGUUCAAGUGUGGGGAUAGACUUGUCCAUAAAGAAAAAGAUAUGUUGAAGCCGUGAAAAAUGAAAAGAAAAGAGAAAAAUUGUGUACGGCUAAAAAGAGAAAAAGAAAAAAAAUAUAUAUGUUUAUGGACUUUCAUCCCCCAUACUUAGUGAUUUUGGAGUUUGCUUUGAAUUGAAGGCCCACUACAGAAAAAUUUGGCCUUUGUCCAUUUCACUAGAGUUCAAGGGAAGUUUAUAUUGAAGAUUGGGCCCAACAUGAAGACAUUUGGCCCUCUUAUAUUACCUCUAUGGAGAAGUGACGUUUUUGCAAUGCCUUGGUGAAAUAUUUCGAGAUCUCUACAUUCAUAUGAGCUCUACUAGGUUUUUAGGACACUUUGAUAAUCCUUACCUUUCAUUUCUUUAAACCUUGAGCCUUAGCCCCAUUACAACCUUUGAGAGGACCUUCUUGAUCCUUAAGAUGGGACAGCAUUUGAUGUGGAGAUGAGUUACAAGAGUUGAACCUAUGGCUUGGGUCCAUUCGUGCAAGUAGUUGAUAUCCUUCAUGAGAUCUUUUGAAAAAAAUUAUAUUCACAAAGUGCUUUUCGUUUCUUAUAUAUGUGAGCUAUUUGACUGCCUUAAAAUAUGUUCUCUCACAUAUAAAUGAGUGAUUAUAAGCUUUUAAGCAUUGCCUUGAUCUGAGAGAAGAAAGAGUGGAUAUACCUUGUGAGGAUAUGAAUCAUACUUGUCUGAAGCAUGCUAAGCUAAACCCCAAUCACCAUUAUUACAACCAAGUCCUACUUGUGUAUGUGUGGAUCAUAUGUUUUAAUUAACUCUCGAAUGCUUAACAUUGAUUCUUGAUUGAGUGCUAAUCUUGGUGUUGUGAAAGUAUGAGAUUUCUGAGACAAUAUGUUAAAGGGCAAUAGAGGUCUUUGUAAUGUCAACAUCUUGGUCUUUGUCUUUGAAUUUACUCUUUUAUGUGUGACGUUUUUUGUUUUCUUUGUGUUUUGCUUUGUGUUUUACGUUUUUGGUUUCUUUGAGUCUUUGUGUUUUUGUUUCCAUACUUAGUCAUUUUUUUCGUUGGUUUCUUUGUUUUGUGUCAUAGUCUUUUUGGUUUGUUAGUUUUUGAUUUUGCUAAGGGACUAGCAAAAGCUAAGUGUGGGGGAAUUUGAUAGCAGCAUUUUAAUGUGGUAUUUUAAUUGUUAAUUCCUCACAUUUUGCUUAGUUAAUUCCUUAACGAAUAGAUUUUUAACUUAAUUUCUAUUUUUUUAGGUACAUUGGAGUAGAUGAUGAUGAAAUGAGCAUUAGGUCCAUAAUUACCUAUAAAUGAUGGAGAAAAAUGGAAAUGUACUAAAAGGUCAAUUUUACACAUUUUCCUACUCCGGCUAGGAGAAACCAAGCCAAGCAAGGAAGAAGGAGCGGCCGCCUGAUCAAAUGAACUCCAAAUGAGCUGAAACUUUCCAGAUCCAUUCUAGACAUCCUAAGGAUCGUUUCUUAUGAAGAGUGCCAGAGCUAGAAUUGAGCGGAAGGCCUUCAAACAGUCAGCCCAAUUUCCUGCAGAAGCAAAACUGGAAAACUGGACCUGUAAGAGGUCCAGCAGCAUUUUCGGCCCAACCACAUGGAAUAAAAAUCUGAAAUUUUACCAGGGUGAUCUACACUCAUAAUGGAACAUUUUUUAUGAAGAGGUCAUAGUGAAAUUGGGAAUGCUUGUUGGAGAAAUAAUUGAAGGAAUAAAGGGGCAGAAACUGAUCUAAAAACAGCUCAACACCACAUGUUCAAGUUUCCUACCCACAUGAAGAAAGCUAGAUGCUUUUCUCUUUUUCCUUGGAUAUAUUUUUCUGCUCCAAUAGAUCAUCAUCACUUCCAUACUUCUACACCUUCAUGCCUUGCUUUCAUUUCAUCAUUACUCCAUCUUUUCCAUAUUUUACAAACCACUUUCAUUAUUUUUCUUCCAUUUAUCAUUUCACUCUUCUUUUUCUUCCCUAUAUAAACACCUUCUCCUCUCACUCUAAAAAUAUUCCUUCAUCCAUUUCAUCUUCUUUGUCUCUCCAUUUCCAUUCCAUUUUUCUCUCCAUUCUCUAGUUGCAAAAUUCUGCGUUUUCAAGUAAGAAGAAGAAGAAGAAGAAGGAGCCGGGAAUAUCAUAUCCUCCAUCGUCCACCUUGAAGGCUUGCUUCCAAGAUUCAAGAUUUCAACGUUUCAAGCACUCCAUCUCCAUCUCCAACUCACGGUGUGUACCCUCAAUCCCCGGAAUAGAACGAUCCCUAUUUGCUUAUACUACUAACGAUGUUUUCAGGGUUAAAUUAUGCGCUUGCUUUGAGCGUAUCAGUUACCCUUGCUUGGCUGGUUCUGUAACCGUUGUGGUCGCGGCACUACCGUCGGCUCCCGAGGAGACUAGGACCGAAGCACGUUGACAGAGGGUUUGGUGGCACUGAAAGUCGGCUUAUGAGAAGACUAGGACUAGGAGUGUGAUCACCGCUAAGAGAAAGAGAAAGAGAGGGAGAGGAGUUGCUCUUAGAGAGGUUUGCUCUAGAGAGAACUUAGAUCAUCUUAGAGAUGUUGUUGUUGAAUGUGAAUGUGUGUGUUAGAAUGAGAGGAGAAGGUGUUUAUAUAGGGAAGAAAAAGAAGAGUGAAAUGAUGAGUGGAAGAAAAAUAAUGAAAGUAGAUCUAAGUUCACUUGUAAAAUAUGGAAAAGAUAGAGAAAAGAUGAAAUGAAAGCAAAGCAUGAAGGUGCAGCAACA